rnacentral:rRNA from 1 species
AUUGAACGCUGGCGGCAGGCCUAACACAUGCAAGUCGAACGGUAACAGGAAGCAGCUUGCUGCUUUGCUGACGAGUGGCGGACGGGUGAGUAAUGUCUGGGAAACUGCCCGAUGGAGGGGGAUAACUACUGGAAACGGUAGCUAAUACCGCAUAACGUCGCAAGACCAAAGAGGGGGACCUUAGGGCCUCUUGCCUUCGGAUGUGCCCAGAUGGGAUUAGCUAGUAGGUGGGGUAACGGCUCACCUAGGCGACGAUCCCUAGCUGGUCUGAGAGGAUGACCAGCCACACUGGAACUGAGACACGGUCCAGACUCCUACGGGAGGCAGCAGUGGGGAAUAUUGCACAAUGGGCGCAAGCCUGAUGCAGCCAUGCCGCGUGUAUGAAGAAGGCCUUCGGGUUGUAAAGUACUUUCAGCGGGGAGGAAGGGAGUAAAGUUAAUACCUUGGCUCAUUGACGUUACCCGCAGAAGAAGCACCGGCUAACUCCGUG